CCGGCGCCUAGAUUCCGGUGGGUUUUCCGUCGCGUCAUUGACGGUCGUCACCGUACGUCGGCGUCGGAAUUAAAAGAGAGAUGUCACCCGAAGCGUUUCCUCACCCUUGUUUCAGAUCCAAGUUUUCUAGCCUUAU